rnacentral:rRNA from 1 species
GAUGAACGCUGGCGGCGUGCUUAACACAUGCAAGUCGAACGGAAAGGCUCCUGCUUGCAGGGGUACUCGAGUGGCGAACGGGUGAGUAACACGUGGGUGAUCUUCCCUGCACUUCGGGAUAAGCCUGGGAAACUGGGUCUAAUACCGGAUAGGACGAUGGUUUGGAUGCCAUUGUGGAAAGUUUUUCGGUGUGGGAUGAGCUCGCGGCCUAUCAGCUUGUUGGUGGGGUAAUGGCCUACCAAGGCGUCGACGGGUAGCCGGCCUGAGAGGGUGUACGGCCACAUUGGGACUGAGAUACGGCCCAGACUCCUACGGGAGGCAGCAGUGGGGAAUAUUGCACAAUGGGCGCAAGCCUGAUGCAGCGACGCCGCGUGGGGGAUGACGGCCUUCGGGUUGUAAACUCCUUUCGCUAGGGACGAAGCGCAAGUGACGGUACCUGGAGAAGAAGCACCGGCUAACUACGUG